rnacentral:lncRNA from 10 species
CUGGAGUGAGACACCAUGAGGGACCGUGAAAUUCUAAAAACAAUCAGGAAAACAUGGAUUUUAGAAUGCCAAGCUGACAUUUUGAGUUUUUAUGAGAAACCAGAAAAUUUGGUGUGAAGACCCUAAGUGGUGUGUCUGACUUACAGCAGGCCCACAGCAAAUACAUUGGAGACUUCUCAACUUUCUGCUUCUGAUGAUCUCAACUUGUGGUAUGGCAAAAGGAGAGCAAAAUGUUCACCCAGGGGUCUGAGUUUGGUUCAAGAGAGGAACUACAGCUGUUGGUGACUACAACCAUCUGCCCAGAUGACAUCGUGAUCAACUCCUCUGAAUCACUCUAAAGGAACGAGAAGUCCUGGCAGCUGAGUCAUGAUCCCCCAGGAGCCAUUAAGAAGUUAAUCUUCAGUCACUUCCAUCCAAACAGAAGAAAACCCAUGAAGGAUGAGAACUAUGGGUCCUGAGAAUGACAGAAGCAGAUCAAGAAACUGGCGAUUGAAGAGUAACUGAAAGAAACGCAAUCUGAUCUUACUAGCAGUGAAAGAGCGAGUCUCCCUCUGAUGCCGAGCAGAAGCUAGACUGUACUGCUGCCAUCUCAGCUCACUGCAACCUCCCUGCCUGAUUCUCCUGCCUCAGCCUGCUGAGUGCCUGCAAUUGCAGGCGCGCCGCCACGCCUGACUGGUUUUCGUAUUUUUUUGGUGGAGACGGGGAUUCGCUGUGUUGGCCGGGCUGGUCUCCAGCUCCUAACCGCGAGUGAUCCACCAGCCUCGGCCUCCUGAGGUGCCGGGAUUGCAGACGGAGUCUGGUUCACUCAGUGCUCAAUGGCGCCCAGACUGGAGUGCAGUGGCGUGAUCUCAGCUCGCUACAACCUCCACCUCCCAGCCGCCUCCCUUGGCCUCCCAAAGUGCAGAGAUUGCAGCCUCUGCCCGGCCGCCACCCCGCCUGGGAAGUGAGGAGCGUCUCUGCCUGGCCGCCCAUUGUCUGGGAUGUGAGGAGCCCCUCUGCCUGGCUGCCCAGUCUGGAAAGUGAGGAGUGUCUCUGCCUGGCCGCCAUCCCAUCUAGGAAGUGAGGAGCGCCUCUUCCCGGCCGCCAUCCCAUCUAGGAAGUGAGGAGCCUCUCUGCCCAGCCGCCCAUCGUCUGAGAUGUGGGGAGCGCCUCUGCCCCGCCGCCCCGUCUGGGAUGUGAGGAGCGCCUCUACCCCGCCGCGACCCCGUCUGGGAGGUGAGGAGCGUCUCUGCCCGGCGGCCCCGUCUGGGAAGUGAGGAGACCCUCCGCCCGGCAGCCGCCCCAUCUGAGAAGUGAGGAGCCCCUCUGCCCAGCAGCCACCCUGUCUGGGAAGUGAGGAGCGUCUCUGCCCAGCAGCCACCCCGUCUGGGAGGGAGGUGGGGGGUCAGCCCCCCGCCCGGCCAGCCGCCCCGUCCGGGAGGUGAGGGGCGCCUCUGCCCGGCGGCCCCUACUGGGAAGUGAGGAGCCCCUCUGCCCGGCCAGCCGCCCCGUCUGGGAAGUGAGGAGCGUCUCCGCCCAGCAGCCACCCCGUCCGGGAGGGAGGUGGGGGGAUCAGCCCCCCGCCCGGCCAGCCGCCCAGUCCGGGAGGGAGGUGGGGGGGUCAGCCCCCCGCCCGGCCAGCCGCCCCGUCCGGGAGGUGAGGGGUGCCUCUGCCCGGCCGCCCCUACUGGGAAGUGAGGAGCCCCUCUGCCCGGCCAGCCGCCCGGUCCGGGAGGGAGGUGGGGGGGUCAGCCCCCUGCCUGGCAAGCCGCCCCGUCUGGGAGGGAGGUGGGGGGAUCAGCCCCCCGCCGGGCCAGCCACCCCGUCCGGGAGGUGAGGGGUGCCUCUGCCCGGCCGCCCCUACUGGGAAGUGAGGAGCCCCUCUGCCCGGCCAGCCGCCCCAUCCGGGAGUGAGGUGGGGGGGUCAGCCCCCUGCCCGGCCAGCCGCCCCGUCCGGGAGGUGAGGGGCGCCUCUGCCCGGCCGCCCCUACUGGGAAGUGAGGAGCCCCUCUGCCCGGCCACCACCCCGUCUGGGAGGUGUACCCAACAGCUCAUUGAGAACGGGCCAUGAUGACAAUGGCGGUUUUGUGGAAUAGAAAGCGGGGAAAGGUGGGGAAAAGAUUGAGAAAUCGGAUGGUUGCCGUGUCUGUGUAGAAAGAGGUAGACAUGGGAGACUUUUCAUUUUGUUCUGUACUAAGAAAAAUUCUUAUCCUGUUGAUCUGUGACCUUACCCCCAACCCCGUGCUCUCUGAAACAUGUGCUGUGUCCACUCAGGGCUAAAUGGAUUAAGGGCGGUGCAAGAUGUGCUUUGUUAAACAGAUGCUUGAAGGCAGCAUGCUCGUUGAGAGUCAUCACCACUCCCUAAUCUCAAGUAACCAGGGACACAAACACUGUGGAAGGCCGCAGGGUCCUCUGCCUAGGAAAACCAGAGACCUUUGUUCACUUGUUUAUCUGCUGACCUUCCCUCCACUAUUGUCCUAUGACCCUGCCAAAUCCCCCUCUGCGAGAAACACCCAAGAAUGAUCAAUAAAAAAAUAAAAUAAAAUAAAAUAAAAUAAAAUAAAUAAAGUUUCAUGCGCAUCCGUGUGAAGAGACCACCAAACAGGCUUUGUGUGAGCAGCAUGGCUGUUUAUUUCACCUGGGUGCAGGCGGGCUGAGUCCGAAAAGAGAGUCAGCCAAGGG